GUCGCAUUGCGGCUCCUGGUGGGACGUUCGGACCGGGAUGGAGACUUUCACCGCACGUCGUCCCACUUCCUGUCUGAGUUCAUCAGGGACGGAUGAGGCGCGAUAAGAUUGCUCACAGAUUUCAGUCGGCGAAGAUCCUGAGUGUAAAUACACGAAGAGCAAGAUGUGGUAAAAAUCCACGCAUCAGUGCCCUGUCAACAGCUGCUCCUCUGGAGAGCAAUCAUCACUGACUCAAGCCGUCAUGUUGAUGGAUCUAUCAGCGCCUGGCGCGGGUCCCAGAAGUCCCUGGCUUUGUGGUUGGACCAUAUUGUCGGCGCAGUUUGAGACCCGGCACCAGAACUCGUAAUCCUUUUCUCGUGCCACAAACACCUACUGACAACUUUAAUUAGAGCCUCGAGAGAGAGAAAGAUGUCUUCAGUGCUUUCAUAGUCGGGUGGGCAUGAAACACACAGUUCUUAGUGUUUUUGUUGUAAGGCGCGUUCUGUCUGUAAAAAUGUUUGUGCUUUGUUUGGAUGUCCUGUGAUAAUACUUAUUAAAGGCUCAGUGACAUUAGUAAUUAUUUGAUCUUAAAGCUCAAGAGACUCCGGUUUUGUGAAAACAGGCUCAAAUUAAGACUAACAAAAAUAGUUACAAGGCUUUAAAUGCAUCUGUAA